rnacentral:lncRNA from 1 species
UGCUUUUUCUCUUUAAAAUUUUAUCUUGAUUCCACUUCUCCAGACUCCUAUGGAAAUAAAUCAUACAGCUCAAAAUUCGUCAGAGCAGCUAUUGGAAGAACUUUUAGGUCUUAAAUAACGAAUGUUUGAUGUCUAUACAUAUUUGGUGGAACAUUAUUAUACUGCCAUUCUAAAACCAGAAGAAUUUGUGUCAGUAUGUUUUACAUGAGAUUGCCAUUAAACAUCAUCUGUUAUUAGGGAAAAAGGCUGACAGUAAUGAGUAAUCCAAGAACGAAGAAUUAUCUGAAUUGGAGGAGAUUUAGUUGAAAAUGAGCAUUUGUUUUAUAUUGCUUCAAAAUAGAUUCCCGAUGAGCUCAUUCCGUGAUUUUGCACUUUAUCAGUACUUAGGGUAAAAGAUGUCUGGGGAAUGUGAAAAUAAUUAAAAUCUGCCGAUAACAAGGAGCCAGAGAGUUAUAGUUUGCACAAGAUAUGGAAAUACAGUCUGAAGGCAGUGAAAUGGAAUCAUGGUGGAUAGACAUUGGCUGGCUGCCACACUCCCGCCCAGCUGCUCUCUUUCUCCCUCUCCUCAGCAGGACAGGGAGAGAAAAUAAGAUGAAAAGCUCAUGGAUCAAGGUAAAGACAGGAAGAUCACCCAUCAGUUACCAUCAAGGGCAAAACAGACUUGACCCAGAGAGAGCAAAUUUAAUGUAUUGCCAACUAGAUAGAACUGGGCAGUAAAACUCAAAGACAAAAAUUAAAACAUCUUCCUCCCAGCUUCUCCUUCUAGGCUCAGAUUAACUCAUUUGGUUCAGACUACUUUACCUCCUUACCUACAGCAGUGCUAGGCAGGUGAGGAAUGUUGGUUUACGCAGGUACAUUAGCCAGGAAAAAAAAAAGCAAAGAAGAGCAUACCCCCUCUGAGAACUAAGAAGGAAGAACUGACAACAGUCUGAACUACUCAGCAAGUUUUUCCUCAGCCUUCACUGGCAGUCAGGAUUUUCAUGUCUAUCAAGUCCCUGAACUUCUAGUUGGGGGCUGAGGGAGUAGAAUCUGUGCAGCAAAGAGCAGGUUAGGGACCACCUGAUCAGACUGGGAGCUACCCAGAUGUCAGCUAGGAAAGAAACAUGGUGGACUUCAAGAAAUCCAGGAGAGUCCUGGAGUCUGCUGAGAAUAACUUCUUGGUUCAAGUAUUGGACAGAAAAGGUGUUACUGAAUCAGGUGCUCACAAGUGCAGAGGACAUCGUAAGAGCUUAAGAAUGAGGCAGACUGGUUUGUGGUCACUAUUCCCUGACUGAAUUCAUGAUCUUAAGGAAUAUGGGCCUCGCAAAAAGCAGAUUCAGGACCCUGUACUACUCCUGUUUUCAGGGCUGGUGAGUCCGUAGUUCAUAUAUAGUUUUCAGUUUUGGGUCCCUCUUUGCAAAAAAGACAUUGAGGCACAGGUGCAUGUCCAAAUGCAGGCAACCUAGUUGCUACAAGGUCUGGAGCAUGUGUCUUAUAAGGAGUGGCUGAAGGAACUGGAAUUUUUUUUUGUGUGUGGAAAGGAGGCUCAGGGGGACUCCCAGUCUCUCUUUACACUUGCCUAAAAGGAAUUUUUAAUGAGGUAGGUGUCAACCUCUUCUGCCACAUAACUAGUGAUAGGACCAGAAUGGCCUUAAGCUGUGCCAGGGGAGGUUCAGGUCAGAUACUCAGAAACAGUUCUUAGAAAGAUUGGUAAUGAACAGGCUGUCUAGGGAGGUAGUGGAGUAACUGUGUUCAAGAAACAUGUAGAUGUGGUACUGAGGAAUAUAUUUUAGUGGGCAUGGUGAUGAUGGGUUGAUGGCUGCACUAGAUGAUUUCAGAGGCUUUUCCAUCCUUAAUGAUUUUAUGAUUCUGAGGUUCUGUGAUUCCAUGCACAAUAGAAUUUCUGCUCUGGUGCACUUACUUUCCUUUUCCUCUGACCUUGGUUUCUGCAGGUCUGUUUUUCACACCUUUUUUCUCUCAAUGCUGUCACAUGCUGCCUGGUAGUAGUUUCUUAAAUCAGCUGUGCCCUGCAGUGGGGCUGUUGGAGCCAUCUGAAAUUGGCUGUGUCCAACAUAGAGCAGGGUAGGCCUCAACUCUCAAAGGAGUCUGUCACCUCUCAGCCAGAACCAGGCACUCACACCUCAUACGUUAAUACAGGUCAGGUUUGCAUUAAAAUGCACUAGCCUAGAAGCCAAACUAUCCAUCCUUGCCAUUUACUACAUCUGAAUGACAGUAAUUUAAAACAAAAGAAAUAAAAUCAAUUAAAUACGUUUACUUAUUGAUAAA